rnacentral:rRNA from 1 species
AUUGAACGCUGGCGGCAGGCCUAACACAUGCAAGUCGAACGAGUGGCGGACGGGUGAGUAAUGUCUGGGAAACUGCCCGAUGGAGGGGGAUAACUACUGGAAACGGUAGCUAAUACCGCAUACCAUCGGAUGUGCCCAGAUGGGAUUAGCUAGUAGGUGGGGUAAUGGCUCACCUAGGCGACGAUCCCUAGCUGGGCUGAGAGGAUGACCACCCACAAUGGAACUGGGACACGUGCCAGACUCCUACGUGAUGCAUCAGGGGGGAAUAUUGAACAAUUGGCGCAAGCCUGAUGCAGCCAUGCCGCGUGUAUGAAGAAGGCCUUCGGGUUGUAAAGUACUUUCAUCGAGGAGGCGUUACUCGCAGAAGAUGCACCGGCUAACUCCGUGCCAGCAGCCGCGGUAAUAC